UACAGAGGGGGCAAGCGUUGUUCGGAAUUACUGGGCGUAAAGGGCGCGUAGGCGGCCCGCUAAGUCGAACGUGAAAUCCCCGAGCUCAACUCGGGAGCUGCGUCCGAUACUGGUGGGCUUGAAUCCGGGAGAGGGAUGCGGAAUUCCAGGUGUAGCGGUGAAAUGCGUAGAUAUCUGGAGGAACACCGGUGGCGAAGGCGGCAUCCUGGACCGGCAUUGACGCUGAGGCGCGAAAGCUAGGGGAGCAAACGGG
rnacentral:rRNA from 1 species